rnacentral:lncRNA from 1 species
AUCCUGGACUUAACAGAAGACCUCCUUGCUAAAGGUGCGCGUUACGUGCUCACAGGCAAGCUUAAUCAAAACCUCUUGGAGAGGUUCUUCGGAAUUACCAGGAGCUUUGGAAGUGACGAAGACCAUUCGACGAUCCUGAGCUUUUCCCAUAUCUACAGGUUGCUGGGCCUGUAGACACCUGUCAAGGCUUCGAUCGCGGGCAAUGUUCAAGAGAAGGCAACUUUAAUUCUAGCCACAGUGCAAAAGGCGAUGAAGCAAGGAAAGAAGCAGCAGCUGGCAACGUCUGAAAAGCUGGGGGAGACAAUCAGCUCAAAGCUUUCGGAGGUUUGCUAGCCUGAAAUAAGUUCAGCAUCCCACUCGGCACCAACACCGCUUCCGGACCACGGAUAUGCUUUGCCAGCAGCAUAGGAGUGCGUCGUAUAUUA